rnacentral:lncRNA from 1 species
GGGUUUCUGCCCAGCUCACCCGCUGUCAGCUGGGGUCCUGCUCUGGUGGGAGGAAGAGGCUCAGACGCUUCCCUGCCCUCUCGCCUCAACCACCUCGAGGCAGCGGCUCCCAGGAUGUGCACUUUGACGACUAAAGCUGAGCCGGCGCCGCCACGACCUUGGGCGGGUGGUCGGCCUCUGCCCUGAGCAGGAAGUAGAAAGUCUCAGCAGACCCUUCCUGAGGGCCGAGCAACAGUGUAGUGGCGUAUUCCACAUAGCAAACAGGUCCCCAGACAGUCCCGGUGUGCACACUUCCCUGCUUCUGUUCAUGAUGUUCUCUGAACCUGGGAUCACCUUUCCCCUUCCUCUUACCUGCCCGAUCCUACUUGUCCUCCCAGAUUCAGUUUUCUGAAGCUCAGAGGGACACCUUGUAUUGCUGGAUGAUAAAAACAGGAGCAAAGUGAUGAAGUGCUGACAAGGCAACAAUAGAACAUGAGAGAUUCACUGCUGUGUAGGAAGAGAUCUUCGGUGACCAUGUAGCCUGAAGCUCUCAUUUUGUCAUCGAGGGACACCAAAACUCAGAACAGUGCUAAGCUCCUACAUCCUGUUCUGGAAGGACAAUCCUGAGCACACGAUGAGCCAUAUAAACUUCAGACUGACGCUGAGUGAAAGAAUGCUGGAAAAGCAUCACAGGCCAGGGCAGCAAAGUCUUCAAGGUCAUCCGUGCUCU